rnacentral:rRNA from 1 species
UACAGAGGUCUCAAGCGUUGUUCGGAUUCAUUGGGCGUAAAGGGUGCGUUAGGUGGCGCGGUAAGUCGGGUGUGAAAUUUCGGAGCUUAACUCCGAAACUGCAUUCGAUACUGCCGUGCUUGAGGACUGGAGAGGAGACUGGAAUUUACGGUGGUAGCAGUGAAAUGCGCAGAUAUCAAGGAGGAACACCGGUGGCGAAAGCGGCGUACUGGGUCUUCUCUGACGCUGAGGCACGAAAGCUAGGGGAGCGAACGGG